GUACUCCCUCCGUCUCAAACAAAGUCAAACCCUGGGUUUCCGUGUUCAACUUUGACUAUCCGUCUUAUAUGAAAUUUUUUUAUAAUUCGUAUUUUCAUUAUUGUUAGAUGAUAAAACAUGAUUAAUAUUUUAUGCGUGACUUGUCUUUUUAUUUUUUUCAUAAUUUUUUCAAAUAAGACGGAUGGUCAAACAUUGGACACGGGAAGCAGGGUUUGUCUUUUUUUGGGACGGAGGGAGUAG
rnacentral:pre_miRNA from 1 species